UACGUAGGGGGCAAGCGUUGUCCGGAUUUAUUGGGCGUAAAGAGCGUGUAGGCGGCCGCACAGGUCCGUUGUGAAAACUGGAGGCUUAACCUUCAGACGUCGAUGGAAACCGUGCGGCUAGAGUACGGAAGAGGAGAAUGGAAUUCCUGGUGUAGCGGUGAAAUGCGCAGAUAUCAGGAGGAACACCAAUGGCGAAGGCAGCUCGCUGGGACGGUACUGACGCUGAGGCGCGAAAGCUAGGGGAGCAAACGGG
rnacentral:rRNA from 1 species